GUUGUAGCUCAAUUGGUUAGAGCGCUGGUCUGUGGCACCAGAGGCUGGGGGUUCAAGUCCCCUCAG
rnacentral:tRNA from 1 species